rnacentral:rRNA from 1 species
UACGUAGGUGGCGAGCGUUGUCCGGAAUUAUUGGGCGUAAAGGGAGCGCAGGCGGACAUAUAAGUCCAUCUUAAAAGUGCGGGGCUCAACCCCGUGAGGGGAUGGAAACUGUAUGCCUUGAGUGCAGGAGAGGAAAGCGGAAUUCCCAGUGUAGCGGUGAAAUGCGUAGAUAUUGGGAGGAACACCAGUGGCGAAGGCGGCUUUCUGGACUGUAACUGACGCUGAGGCUCGAAAGCCAGGGGAGCGAACG